CGGCGGACGGGUGAGUAAUGCCUAGGAAUCUGCCUGGUAGUGGGGGACAACGUUUCGAAAGGAACGCUAAUACCGCAUACGUCUACGGGAGAAAGCAGGGGACCUUCGGGCCUUGCGCUAUCAGAUGAGCCUAGGUCGGAUUAGCUAGUUGGUGAGGUAAUGGCUCACCAAGGCGACGAUCCGUAACUGGUCUGAGAGGAUGAUCAGUCACACUGGAACUGAGACACGGUCCAGACUCCUACGGGAGGCAGCAGCU
rnacentral:rRNA from 1 species